CCUACGGGAGGCAGCAGUGGGGAAUAUUGCACAAUGGGGGAAACCCUGAUGCAGCGACGCCGCGUGAGUGAAGAAGUAUCUCGGUACGUAAAGCUCUAUCAGCAGGGAAGAAAAUGACGGUACCUGACUAAGAAGCCCCGGCUAACUACGUGCCAGCAGCCGCGGUAAUACGUAGGGGGCAAGCGUUAGCCGGAUUUACUGGGAGUAAAGGGAGCGUAGACGGCAGCACAAGUCUGGAGUGAAAGCCCGGGGCUUAACCCCGGAACUGCGUUGGAAACUGGGCGGCUGGAGUGCAGGAGGGGUAAGCGGAAUUCCUGGUGUAGCAGUGAAAUGCGUAGAUAUCAGGAGGAACACCGGUGGCGAAGGCGGCUUACUGGACUGUAACUGACGUUGAGGCUCGAAAGCGUGGGGAGCAAACAGGAUUAGAUACCCGUGUAGUC
rnacentral:rRNA from 1 species